ACAAGCGGUGGAGCAUGUGGUUUAAUUUCGAAGCAACGCGAAGAACCUUACCAGGCCUUGACAUGCAGAGAACUUUCCAGAGAUGGAUUGGUGCCUUCGGGAACUCUGACACAGGUACUGCACGGCUGUCGUCAGCUCGUGUCGUGAGAUGUUGGGUUAAGUCCGUAACGAGCGCAACCCUUGUCCUUAGUUACCAGCACGUUAUGGUGGGCACUCUAAGGAGACUGCCGGCGACAAACCGGAGGAAGGUGGGGAUGACGUCAAGUCAUCAUGGCCCUUACGGCCUGGGCUACACACGUGCUACAAUGGUCGGUACGAAGGGUUGCCAAGCCGCGAGGUGGAGCUAAUCCCAUAAAACCGAUCGUAGUCCGGAUCGCAGUCUGCAACUCGACUGCGUGAAGUCGGAAUCGCUAGUAAUCGUGAAUCAGAAUGUCACGGUGAAUACGUUCCCGGGCCUU
rnacentral:rRNA from 1 species